rnacentral:rRNA from 1 species
AUGGCGUUCACCGACGAGUACAAGGGCAUGGAGGCCCACGGCAACACCAAGUUGCACGUCAUCCACACCAACGACAAGAAGCAGAUGACGAUCUCCCUCGUGCAGUACGAGCGCCACCUCAGCCUCCAGCGCCACAAAAUCGUUGGCAUUGAUCUCGAGUACAACAACGAGCCUGAAGCGACGCAGAAACCCGCCCUGUGCCAACUCUCCAUCGGCAAGAAUCACCCGGUGCUGCUCUUCCAACUGAGCGCCGCUGAAAGGUGCACCGUCUUCGACAACUUCCUCGCGGACCCCAGGUACACCUUUGCAGGCUUCUCCAUCGACGGCGACAAAACUAGGCUAGAGCGCGUCAAUCUGGAGAAGAAGAUCGCCGACGACGAACACAAGCGCUGGGCCACCCUGCCUCUGUCCAUGAGGCACAUCGAGUACAUGGCGAAGGACGCCUACGCAGCAACAAACACGAGAGAGCAGAGGAGAGUCAUGGCGGAUGCACCUCUGUACAAGCAGCGCAGCACGUACAGUAGGGAGCUCCACGACGUCGACCUCCACAGCAACCAUAAGCUCCACGUCAUUUGCACAAGCAAGGGUGAAGACGUGGACAAGAUACGUUGGAGACGUAUCAGAAGCUCGGCGGAAUGCCCGUUAAACUAG